UUCACCACAUUAUUUACCCCCGCCUUAAUAUGCUUCAUCGACUUUUUCACCUGAUAAAGCUCCUUCCGUAGAUCCCUCACUUCGUCCGUCUCUGCAAUCAGGAUCAAACACCCCUCGGAGAUCUUCACGGUGACGCCGUGCCCGGUCUCAAAUCCCGCUUCUUCCUGCCAGUCACCCUUAAGGUGCUGGCUGGGGAUUUGUGAGUAACAGGCGGUCAUGCAGGUUUCGCUGUUGAUAUGGCGGACGCUGACGCCGGAGGCAUUCAUAUUUGCUGACUAAAUAAAUUCUUAUUUAUCCGCCGGAUGCUGGCUGAUUGUGGAGCUCAGGGUGAGUGAGUAUGGGCGCGACAUCCUGGCACCGCGCCUCCCUCUCCCCGGCCAGCCCCGGCCGGUGAUGAGCAGCCGGCUGCCGGGGCCGUAUUUU
rnacentral:sRNA from 1 species